GCUUUGCCUGUGUGCGGCUGGCUACGUGAAAAAGCUGCUUCUUCUUCAGAGAAUGCAAAACUGCUGAGAUCACACCAUGAAGAGUCCUGAAACAAUGUGGGAGGCACAGAGCUUUGAGACAAGGUGUGUGCAUGUGGCGAGUGCCACCAUCACCCGAAACACGGCACGGAGCGAGCAAGCGAGCGAGCUAGCGAGGAAUGCCGCCUGCGAGAAAACCCUGGGUCUGUCUGCUGGACUUCUAGCUCAGGGGUCACAGGGGUAUUUGGGUAGCCUUGCCCAUCUACUGUGGGGAGCUCAGUCACUCUCUUUUGCAUGCAUUUAAAGCAAGCAGAAAACCUUUCUAGACGACACAUUAUGGUAAUAAUGGCUGCUUUUUAACCAACUAGAAGACCAAGAAAAAAAAAAUGAGAGUUUGCAGAACUUAAAUUUGUUUCACUGAAGAUGCUUUAUUUCAGUGAACCAAUGAAGUUGCUAAUCGAUGUUCAGUAUUCUGGAGAGAAAGCUAUGUCCCACCCUCAAACUGAAAGUUUGUCUUAAGCUCCAAGGAAAUUUAAGCCCAAAUGUGCUGCCAAAACAAAAACAAAAACAAAAAACAAAGGAAAAACAAAAACAGCAAGGAAAAUUUCUAGAGUAUAACAAGAAUUAAGCAAAAUACACGAAAUUCUGUUUUAACACAGCCCAGACACAGUUCUUAUCCUGAGCCCGUCCUGAUACACAGAUCUUGGCUGAUACAAUGUUUAGAAGAGGAGAAACCCGAGAGAGAAGAGUGCAGAGACAAGGUUGCCUGGCACACGGUGAUGCUCUUACCGGGUCUUCAUCGUUAUAGUGUCUCUAGAGUGACAAGUGAAGCAGGCAAAGACAAGGUCUGAGGGAGGCACCGAAUACAGCCCCGAGAGCGUCCGUGUGGAACCACCCCCACGAAGUUUACCACUGCUCGUGCAAACUUAUGGGACUUAAGGCAACGAGGGGAAAGCAGAGGCCAGUGCGCAUGCUCACAGAUGCAUCAGAGACUUCCAGAAGCCACCAGUGGUAAAUGCCUGUCCCAAACUAGGUCCUCAAAACUGCUAGCUUUUCUUUCUAUUACGAAUUGUAAUAUGCGUGCUUA